GGCCCCGUGGCGGAAUAGGUAGACGCAGUGGGCUUAAAACCCGCGGCCUUCGGGCGUUCCGGUUCAAGUCCGGACGGGGCUACCG
rnacentral:tRNA from 1 species